rnacentral:lncRNA from 1 species
AAUUGAUCACAUGGUUCUAUGGGUAUAUGAUUGGGGGUUUGGCUAUAAAGAUCAAUCUAUUGCAAAUAUGAAUAACAUGGCAAUAGGUUUUGAACAAUGAUACAUAUAUAGCCCAGUGGAAUUGCUUGUCAGCUCCAGGAAGGGGAAGGGAAGAAAGGAGGAAAAGAUCAUGAAUCAUGUGAAGAAACUCAGGCCUAAAACUCUGAAUGCUUAUUUCCUUUUCUUCACCCUAUUUACUCAACUUAUCCAUUAUGAGAAAACUGAAAGAAUGUUGGAACUUCAGUCAGAGGAAGGAAGAAAGUGUCUCAGUCAUGGCGAGAGGACACAGAGGAGAUAAGAGUUUCAAAGUCAAUGAGUUUCUUCUUGCAGGUAAUGAAUUUUGGGGAGCUACCAGGAAGUCCAGGAAAGCAACAGGUUCAAAAUCCUGAAUCCAAGAAACUUGGGAAUAAUAGCAUACUCCAAACCACCAGACCUACUUCUAAAUCAGCUACUACAUCUAUCUUUGAGGGGAGAAAUCAUUAGAGAAAGGGUCCACCUUCCCCAUCACCACAAGGAAUAACUACUGACCAUCUACCAAGCUAUCAAUAGGCAGACAAUCCUGCUUCCAGCCCAGCAAUCAAAGCCACCAUCUCAGAAGGCAAUUUCUGUGGGAAAGGGGCCAACCAUCACCCACAAGGUAGGCAAGGAGCCCUGAGGGAAAAAUAGGAGCCAACAUGUGCCAGAUAAGUCAAAACAUCAUCACCACAUUGACUAUCAUGUCUCCACUCCCCCUCCCCAGAUCCUAAUGGAGACAGCAUUAGAACCCUAGAACCUUGAGUCCAACAAUGGACUUUGCCCAAGAUUCUCAACCACCAUCCCUUUGUGACUAUGCAGCCUGGCCACUGCUCCUGCAGGUACAAUAGCUUCAGCUACAGAAGACUCAGAAUAGAAAGUUCAUAUUGUCCAACAGUAAUCCAGGUGCCAAGUCCUAGAGAGCUAUUCUCAAACACUGUGCUCAUCUACACUGUCCUGAGGAGUUAUUUGUUAGCAUUAGAGUCCUCUAUACUGUCCCAGUGAGCCAUUCACUAAUGUUAUGCUUGUCCAUAUUGUUUCGGGGAGCUAUUCACUAACACCAAAUCUGUCUACACUGUCCCAGGAAGCUAGCUGUUUGUUAGCAUUUAUAAAUCAAGCCAUCAGUCAUGGUUUUGGAGUCAGUCCAAAUUGUUCAGGAGACUUUGACUUACUUCCAAACUCCCUGGUUUAACAUCAGUGUAGUUUUCCCAGUGCAGGAAAGCCUAUAUGGUGGUUCCAAAUGGUUAAUUGCACCAAGGAUGUCUUCAGGGCCACGAGGCCUGAAACUAGUAUAGAAUGUUGUCCAAAGGUUUUCCAGGAACUCAGACUGUAAAACAAAAUACAAUCUUAAGUAGAGCUCUCAUGUUCAAGCAGCAA